rnacentral:rRNA from 1 species
AACGAACGCUGGCGGCAUGCCUAACACAUGCAAGUCGAACGAGACCUUCGGGUCUAGUGGCGCACGGGUGCGUAACGCGUGGGAAUCUGCCUUUGCUUCGGAAUAACAGUUAGAAAUGACUGCUAAUACCGGAUGAUGUCUUCGGACCAAAGAUUUAUCGGCAAAGGAUGAGCCCGCGUAGGAUUAGGUAGUUGGUGGGUAAAGGCCUACAAGCCGACGAUCCUUAGCUGGUCUGAGAGGAUGAUCAGCCACACUGGGACUGAGACACGGCCCAGACUCCUACGGGAGCAGCAGUGGGAAUAUUGGACAAUGGGCGCAAGCCUGAUCCAGCAAUGCCGCGUGAGUGAUGAAGGCC